CUCAUUGGCCGAACUCCUCUUGUAUAUCUUAACAAAGUCACUGAAGGCUGUGGAGCUUAUAUUGCUGUCAAGCAAGAAAUGAUGCAACCUACUGCUAGCAUCAAAGACAUAGCAGCACAUGCCAUGAUUGUGGAUGCUGAAAAGAAAAACUUAAUUACCCUGGGAAGACAACUCUGAUAGAGCCCACAUCAGGAAAUAUGGAGAUCAGUAUGGCAUUUAUCUCAGCCCUUAAAGGAUACAAAACGGUUCUAACCAUGCCCUCUUACACAAGCUUGGAGAGGAGGGUAACUAUGAGAGCAUUUGAAGCUGAUUUAAUUCUCACUGAUCCCACCAGGGGGAUGGGGGGAACAGUU